UAAAUUGAGAGUUUGAUCCUGGCUCAGGAUGAACGCUGGCGGCGUGCUUAACACAUGCAAGUCGAGCGAUGAAGUUUCCUUCGGGAAACGGAUUAGCGGCGGACGGGUGAGUAACACGUGGGUAACCUGCCUCAUAGAGUGGAAUAGCCUUCCGAAAGGAAGAUUAAUACCGCAUAACGUUGGAAGAUGGCAUCAUCAUUCAACCAAAGGAGCAAUCCGCUAUGAGAUGGACCCGCGGCGCAUUAGCUAGUUGGUGGGGUAACGGCCUACCAAGGCGACGAUGCGUAGCCGACCUGAGAGGGUGAUCGGCCACAU
rnacentral:rRNA from 1 species